rnacentral:rRNA from 1 species
UACAGAGGUCCCAAGCGUUGUUCGGAUUCAUUGGGCGUAAAGGGUGCGUAGGCGGCGCGGUAAGUCGGGUGUGAAAUCUCCGGGCUUAACCCGGAAACUGCCAUUGAUACUAUAAGUCUUGAAUUAUCUGGAGGUAAGCGGAAUAUGUCAUGUAGCGGUGAAAUGCUUAGAUAUGACAUAGAACACCAAUUGCGAAGGCAGCUUACUACGGAUAUAUUGACACUGAGGCACGAAAGCGUGGGGAUCAAACAGG